rnacentral:lncRNA from 1 species
ACUACUUAGAUCUUGUGGACCGCUUUUUUGUAUUUUUACUACAAUAGUUUGUAUCUGUACAAUAAGAAGCUCCCCCAUUGUUUUUGUCCAAACAAAUAGUCCAGUUCUAAUAUUCUCUUUAACAAAAACAAAGUGCAGCUCACAUGAUAUUAAAAAACAUAACCUUCACUUCCCGGGGAAAGAAGUAUAUAAAGGAGUGCGUUCCGCAUCCCCUGUGAUCACCAAAAUAGUAAGCAGGGAGGAUAACAUAGCGAACUCACAGUUGUCAUUUGUACAUUAGAAGAAAACUUGUACCAUAAAUCAACAAAUGUGCAUCUUACAAUAAACAUAAGAAAUUCUGAAAUUGACACAUAAUUUUUGGAAACAGUAUGAAUACACUGUGCACAAUUUAGGUAACAGUGACACUUGAGCUUUUCGAUGUUCUUAGUCGCUAAAGUCUAUCAUUAUAGUGCAUAUUUUGUCCCCCACAUACUCCAAGAAUGCUUUGUGUGACUUCUGAAUAUUACCGAUAUUAAUCAACAUAUUAAUAGUUUAAUACUACCUCUUGUCCCCCACAUAAGUUUUCUCUAAGAAUGAAUCAUUUAUUCUGAAUUCAAUCCUAUAUCCCUGGAGCUAGUGCCUAGGUAGGCACAACCCACCUUAAUUCCAGGCUAAGUGACAUAAUAUGUAAAACACACGCUGACUAAAUAGCACAAAUAAGGCAACUCUAAUCAAGGGGAUGACAUUACCUCUUGAUACGGUCCAGUUUAAUGCAUCUGGUGGUAGGAAGUAAAGCCCAAGGAAGCCGACAUGAACAUGAGAAGUAAUCAUAGGAAACAGAGACUCUGCAUCUUCAUUUCUUCAGUAUCCCUCUUGAUCCCACUUUGUAAGACAAGAUUGCUGCACAAUUCUUAUGUACGCGUCAUAUCUAAUUACACAUUUUCAGUACAGUAAUCGGCAACCUAAGAUAAUCCCAAUGCUAGAAUUCUAGAGCGCUGGAAGCCCCAUGAUUCUUAUUUAUUCUCUAAUGCACGUGCACCCACCAAACAUACACUUUAUGAGGGAUAGUGAAUUCAAAUUUCUCAACCAGCCAAACUUAUGCAUCUAGUCAAAUUCUAAUCUUCGUAUGUAUAAGUAUGAACCUCCUUGUAAAAAUACAGGUCUAAAAAACACUCUUGCAUAGGCCACAUUUCCUCCUAUAUCUAUAUAUGAGAAUGAUUUUCAUGCUCCAGAUCACAUGUAUUUUCCAAAGGGAUUAUCAAAUGAUUAAUUAAACUCCGGAAUAGCAAUUUCUUCCUGUCCCAAAAAAUGUUUCUAGUAUCUAUCAGAGGAAGAUUGGUUGGUAGAUGAAAUUGCAGAUCAAAAAGUUCUGACCCACCACCAAGUGCCAAAAGUGCAAUAUUAGUCAUGCAAACCACAAAAUACCCCAGAUCGAAUUAAAGGUUCACCUGAUUGAUUUGUGAGACCUUCGGUGACCUCGACGGUGCACGUAGAGAGAACUGCAGGAGUUUCUUGACGGCCCAGCCCAAGGACGGCAGGAACGGUGAUGACUGCACCUCUUGCGCUCGGAAGGUAAAUUAUGGUCGCAAGGUAGCAAUGAGUUUCGUAGAAUGCAAACUUCAUUCUCAGUGCCCUUUGAAGCUGUUAAACCAAAUUAACAACACAAUUGCCUAGUCACUUAUUCCGGAUCUUAAAACCUAUGCAAGGUAGAUUUGCAAGGCUCAUUAAUCCAAUGCUUUAUUUCGGUGAAGAUUGAGAUCUAAGAGGAUAGGAAACGAAAGGGGUGAGUUUUACCAUUUGAUAGGCUGCAAUAUGAACUCCAUCCCCUUUGAUGGCGUCGUCUUCCUCAGCCGGCCUCCACUCUCACCCAUGCAUCGAGCAUUGUCAGUUAUGAUUAAUGAACAUUUACAUCAAAAUUUCAUAUUUCUCUGCCACAUAUAUACACAAUUAGAUGGAUGACAAAACUGAAAACUAAAUCUGAAGCAUCUGUUGCNNNNNNNNNNUCCGGGAGGUGGUUGGCGGCGAUUGGUGCCACGACAACCUCCCGGACUAGUUUGGGGAGGUCUUUAGACUCCCCGACGCUAGUCGCCCUCCCACUUGGGUAGCUCUGGGUACCCUGGCAUGGACCCUCUGGUGUACCCAUAAUAAACUAGUCAUUGAGCGUGUGAUUCCUCGUCGUGUGACCGAUGCAAUCUAUAAAAUGUGUGGCUUCUUACAGCUUUGGAGACCGCUUAGCAAGCGGCGCGACCGAGACGUCAUCGACAACAUCAUUGCGGGUCUUCGUUCUUCGGCGUCGGCUUUUGCCCCUCCACUGCCUCCUAAGCCGGAUUAGCUUUUUUAGCUUUGUUUGGGGCUUGUCUUGCUGUGCCCCCAGCAUGACUUUAUGACUUGUUUGUACUCUGUACUGCUGUGUUGGAUGCUUGGUUCGUUGUUUUAUAAUAUAAAGCGGGGGGAAACCCUUUUUCUCAACUAGACGGUGGAGAUAUCAGGUUCAGUUGAGCCAAGGCUCAGAAAGAAUAUUCGUCCAAAGUAGCAAAUAUCCAUUUCUGAGCGCGAUCUCAUCAGCACCAUAUGAACAGUAAAAUAAAAUAAAUACUACAAAAAAUAAAUAAAAAGUGCAUGGAAGAUGUUUCAGUGCGUGAGGUCCGUGCAAAAUUUCAGCUUGUUUGAACAUCUGAGUAGCUCUUAGCAAAAGAAAACUGCCAAAAUAGUACAUGAACAGUACACUGUUUCACAAACAUCAAAUUUGUCUAUUUUGCUGAGAGCUACUCAGAUGUCCAAAUGAGCUGAAAUUUGGCAUGGACCUCACACACUGAAAUGUCUAUCUUGCAAAAAGGAAUUUUUUUUAUUUUUUCUAGUAUUUUAUUUGAUUUUACUGUUCAUGGCCAGUGUAGAUGAGCUCGGGAGCCAAUUUGCCCCUAUCCCAAAGUAGCUACUUUUCUGUCUAAAGUUGUUGAACCUAAAAUUUGGCACUUCAAACUGGACAUGUCACGUAUGCACAACAGUAGUUUUCUUUGAGUUCCAUGUGCACACCUGUCUGUAUCAUGUGUAAGAUAUUGUCGAAUGCAUAGCACUGGUCGCUUCCGGGUGUGCAAAACCGAACCGUAAACCAAAAACCAAACCGAGCCAAAAUUUUGGGGUUUUCAAGUUUCGGUUUCAGUUUCAGUUUUGAAGUCUGAAAACCGUUUGCAUUUCGAUUGGUUAAACCGUUUGCAUUUCAAUUGGGCUGCUAUAGUACAAUACUUUCUAGCCAUUUAGUGCUUCAGUUUACGUGAUAGUAAACAUGCACGUGCAACGCACGUCUAGACAAACAUACUAUGGCUAAAGUUCGGCAAAAACAACUCUUACAUUUUACACAUAUUCUCUGCACAAGGCAAACUGAUGCAUGAAAGCACUCCAUGUUACUACUUAGAUCUUGUGGACCGCUUUUUUGUAUUUUUACUACAAUAGUUUGUAUCUGUACAAUAAGAAGCUCCCCCAUUGUUUUUGUCCAAACAAAUAGUCCAGUUCUAAUAUUCUCUUUAACAAAAACAAAGUGCAGCUCACAUGAUAUUAAAAAACAUAACCUUCACUUCCCGGGGAAAGAAGUAUAUAAAGGAGUGCGUUCCGCAUCCCCUGUGAUCACCAAAAUAGUAAGCAGGGAGGAUAACAUAGCGAACUCACAGUUGUCAUUUGUACAUUAGAAGAAAACUUGUACCAUAAAUCAACAAAUGUGCAUCUUACAAUNNNNNNNNNNAAGGACGGCAGGAACGGUGAUGACUGCACCUCUUGCGCUCGGAAGGUAAAUUAUGGUCGCAAGGUAGCAAUGAGUUUCGUAGAAUGCAAACUUCAUUCUCAGUGCCCUUUGAAGCUGUUAAACCAAAUUAACAACACAAUUGCCUAGUCACUUAUUCCGGAUCUUAAAACCUAUGCAAGGUAGAUUUGCAAGGCUCAUUAAUCCAAUGCUUUAUUUCGGUGAAGAUUGAGAUCUAAGAGGAUAGGAAACGAAAGGGGUGAGUUUUACCAUUUGAUAGGCUGCAAUAUGAACUCCAUCCCCUUUGAUGGCGUCGUCUUCCUCAGCCGGCCUCCACUCUCACCCAUGCAUCGAGCAUUGUCAGUUAUGAUUAAUGAACAUUUACAUCAAAAUUUCAUAUUUCUCUGCCACAUAUAUACACAAUUAGAUGGAUGACAAAACUGAAAACUAAAUCUGAAGCAUCUGUUGCAUAAAAUUGCAAGUAAUUAAACACUCACAUGGAGGAUCCGGCAACAAGAUAUGAUCUCCCUUGCUCCGUCCAUGCACGGACGAAGCGGCUCGACGACCCAGCCGGCGGGACCCUGGCCGCCAGCAUACACCUUGUGCAGGUCCUCCUCCACCUCAUCCGUCACUCCGCACUUUUUCGCCCGCAACCACCCCAUCCCGUGCGCCGCCCGCCGCAGCCGCUCCAGCUCACUGGUGUCCAGCAGCCGCAAGGCGGGCGUCGGCUCGUGCGCCAAUACUCGUCCCCCGCCGGGUCCCACGGGACCGGCCUCCCACUCCCAUCUCCCCUGCCUCCUCUUCCCGAUCUUCCUCCAGUGGGAUGUGGAAUAAGGGAUGCUGCUGCGGGCUAGGUACGGUCUGGGCUUCGGACUUGAAGGCUAGGUCAAGGGAGCUGACCCGGCGGGUGAUCCCGAGGACGACACGGCGAGCGCGGCCGCCGGGGACACCGGCGCUGAGGGGAUUCUCGUGGCCGUCGCAAUCGCUAGGGCUGUGUCCGUGGCAGAGAGGAUGUGCCUAUAUCUUUUACGUACUUGAUUGCCCCAUUGUUUUUUUCUGGACGCGGAUGAUAGGGGUGCGAUAGAUGUGGCAGAGUUCCGUCCGCUCGUGCAAAUUGCUAAACAUACACAGGUGAGGGUUAAUUCUAAUGCCAACGGUUAGAUCUAAUUAGAUAGGUUAGAUCGUGGGGUGGUAUUUGGUCUUAAUUUUUCUGUGUACGUGUUUCUGGGUGCGUUUAGGAAAGAAUAUGUUUGCUUGUUUAUUAAUAGUAGAGAAGACUUGGCCAAACGAGCCGGCCACAUCAAGGGGAUUUGCCCCCAUCUUGUCCCCAAUGAAGGUCUAACCCACCUCCAGUAUGCAGAUGACACCAUUAUGAUGGUGGAAGGCUCGGACAAGGACAUCCAGAACCUCAAGUUCCUCCUCCUCUGCUUUCAGGAGAUGUCGGGCCUCACGAUUAAUUUCGCCAAAAGUGAGGUGAUGGUCCUUGGAUACUCUUAGGCGGAAGCUCAGCGAAUUGCUAAUCGCUUGAAUUUCCGCUUGGGGUCCUUCCCGACUACUUACCUAGGCAUGCCAAUUAGCGACACGCGUCUACUGGAGAAAGACUUCCGCCCAAUAAUCGCCAAACUCCAACCUCGGAUGGAGCCUUGGUAGGGGAGAUGGCUGUCCAAAGCCACGCGAGUGAUUUUGAUGAACUCCUCCCUUAUUAGCCUACUGAUGUACGUCAUGGGAUUCUAUAGUCUACAUGAAUCCCUACAUCACGAGGUCACCAAACUCCUCUCCAGAUUCUUCUGGGCUGGAGAGAACAAUAAACAAAAGUACCACAUGGUGAAGUGGUCUGAGAUCUGUAAGCCUAAAGACCAACGAGGCAUUGGGGUCAUUUCGUCCAAGCGGAUGAAUAUUGCCCUCCUCUCUAAAUGGCUUUGGCGGAUUCAGACCGAUGAGGGCGGCCUCUAGCUUGAGAUUAUCCGGGCAAAGUACCUCUGCGGGCAACCGCUAGCCUUCACCCCUAGAUCUGGAGGGUCCGAAUUCUAGCAAUCGGUGAUCUGUCUGAUGCCGGUAUUGCGCAUUGGGACCUCCAUUAAGGUGAGCACCGGUUCCGACACCCUCUUUUGGCUGGAUAGAUGGGCCGGGACCCGUCCCUUCGCUGAACGCUUUUAUGCGCUAUUCUCGAUCUGUGUCCGCCCUCAGCUAUCGCUUUAGCUGACCUGGGCGCUAUUGCCUUCCACCAUANNNNNNNNNNAACAUAAGAAAUUCUGAAAUUGACACAUAAUUUUUGGAAACAGUAUGAAUACACUGUGCACAAUUUAGGUAACAGUGACACUUGAGCUUUUCGAUGUUCUUAGUCGCUAAAGUCUAUCAUUAUAGUGCAUAUUUUGUCCCCCACAUACUCCAAGAAUGCUUUGUGUGACUUCUGAAUAUUACCGAUAUUAAUCAACAUAUUAAUAGUUUAAUACUACCUCUUGUCCCCCACAUAAGUUUUCUCUAAGAAUGAAUCAUUUAUUCUGAAUUCAAUCCUAUAUCCCUGGAGCUAGUGCCUAGGUAGGCACAACCCACCUUAAUUCCAGGCUAAGUGACAUAAUAUGUAAAACACACGCUGACUAAAUAGCACAAAUAAGGCAACUCUAAUCAAGGGGAUGACAUUACCUCUUGAUACGGUCCAGUUUAAUGCAUCUGGUGGUAGGAAGUAAAGCCCAAGGAAGCCGACAUGAACAUGAGAAGUAAUCAUAGGAAACAGAGACUCUGCAUCUUCAUUUCUUCAGUAUCCCUCUUGAUCCCACUUUGUAAGACAAGAUUGCUGCACAAUUCUUAUGUACGCGUCAUAUCUAAUUACACAUUUUCAGUACAGUAAUCGGCAACCUAAGAUAAUCCCAAUGCUAGAAUUCUAGAGCGCUGGAAGCCCCAUGAUUCUUAUUUAUUCUCUAAUGCACGUGCACCCACCAAACAUACACUUUAUGAGGGAUAGUGAAUUCAAAUUUCUCAACCAGCCAAACUUAUGCAUCUAGUCAAAUUCUAAUCUUCGUAUGUAUAAGUAUGAACCUCCUUGUAAAAAUACAGGUCUAAAAAACACUCUUGCAU